CCUACGGGAGGCAGCAGUGAGGAAUAUUGGUCAAUGGGCGCGAGCCUGAACCAGCCAAGUAGCGUGAAUGAAGACUUCCCUACGGGUUGUAAACUUCUUUUAUAAAGGAAUAAAGGGAGGCACGUGUGCCUUUUUGUACGUACUUUAUGAAUAAGGAUCGGCUAACUCCGUGCCAGCAGCCGCGGUAAUACGGAGGAUCCGAGUGUUAUCCGGAUUUAUUGGGUUGAAAGGGAGCGUAGAUGGGUGGUUAAGUCAGACGGGCAAGUUUGCGGCUCAACCGUAAAAUUGCAAUUGAUACUGGGUGUCUUGAGUGCAGGUGAGGUAGGUGGAAUUCGUGGUGUAGCGGUGAAAUGCUUAGAUAUCAGGAGGAACUCCGAUGGCGAAGGCAGCUUACUAGACUGCAACUGACAUUGAUGCUCGAAAGUGUGGGGAUCAAACAGGAUUAGAUACCCCAGUAGUC
rnacentral:rRNA from 1 species